rnacentral:rRNA from 1 species
CAAUAAGCGGAGGAAAAGAAACCAACAGGGAUUGCCUCAGUAACGGCGAGUGAAGCGGCAAAAGCUCAAAUUUGAAAUCUGGCCUCACGGUCCGAGUUGUAAUUUGUAGAGGAUGCUUCGAACGUGGUCCGGUCUAAGUUCCUUGGAACAGGACGUCAUAGAGGGUGAGAAUCCCGUAUGUGCCCGGGUGCCAUUGUUCAUGUGAAGCUCCUUCGACGAGUCGAGUUGUUUGGGAAUGCAGCUCAAAAUGGGUGGUAAAUUUCAUCUAAAGCUAAAUACUGGCCAGAGACCGAUAGCGCACAAGUAGAGUGAUCGAAAGAUGAAAAGCACUUUGGAAAGAGAGUUAAACAGUACGUGAAAUUGUUGAAAGGGAAGCGCUUGCAAUCAGACUUGCAUGCAGUCGAUCAUCCGAUGUUCUCACCGGUGCACUCGAUUGUAUUCAGGCCAGCAUCGGUUUUGGUGGUUGGAUAAAGGCCUCAGGAACGUGGCUCCUCUCGGGAGUGUUAUAGCCUGAGGUGCAAUGCAGCCUACCGGGACCGAGGACCGCGCUUCGGCUAGGAUGCUGGCGUAAUGGUUGUAAGCGACCC